rnacentral:rRNA from 1 species
AUAAGCCGGAGGAAGGUGGGGAUGACGUCAAGUCCUCAUGGCCCUUACAGGCUGGGCUACACACGUGCUACAAUGGCAUCUACAGUGGGCAGCUAUUCCGCAAGGAUGCGCUAAUCUCCAAAAGAUGUCCCAGUUCGGAUUGUCCUCUGCAACUCGAGGGCAUGAAGGCGGAAUCGCUGGUAAUCGCGGAUCAGCAUGCCGCGGUGAAUACGUUCCCAGGCCUU